rnacentral:rRNA from 1 species
AUUGAACGCUGGCGGCAGGCCUAACACAUGCAAGUCGAACGAGUGGCGGACGGGUGAGUAAUGUCUGGGAAACUGCCCGAUGGAGGGGGAUAACUACUGGAAACGGUAGCUAAUACCGCAUACCAUCGGAUGUGCCCAGAUGGGAUUAGAUAGUAGGUGGGGUAACGGCUCACGUAGGCGACGAUCCCUAGCUGGUCUGAGAGGAUGACAAGCCACACUGGGACUUGGACACGGUCCAGACUCCUGCGGGAGGCAGCAGUGGGGAAUAUUGCACAAUGAGGGCAAGCCUGAUGCAGCCAUGCCGCGUGUAUGAAGAAGGCCUUCGGGUUGUAAAGUACUUUCAGCGGGAAGGCGUUACCCGCAGAAGAAGCACCGGCUAACUCCGUGCCAGCAGCCGCGGUAAUAC